GACGAACGCUGGCGGCGUGCUUAACACAUGCAAGUCGAACGGAAAGGCCCUGCUUUUGUGGGGUGCUCGAGUGGCGAACGGGUGAGUAACACGUGAGUAACCUGCCCUUGACUUUGGGAUAACUUCAGGAAACUGGGGCUAAUACCGGAAAGGAGCUCCUGCUGCAUGGUGGGGGUUGGAAAGUUUCGGCGGUUGGGUAUGGACUCGCGGCUUAUCCGCUUGUUGUUGGGGUAGUGGCUUACCAAGGCUUUGACGGGUAGAGGGCCUGAGAGGGUGACCGGCCAGAUUGGGACUGCUGUACGGCCCAGCCUCCUACGGUAGGCAGCAGUGGCGUAUAUUGCACAGUGGGCGCAAGCCUGAUGCAGCAACGCCGCGUGCGGGAUAACGGCCUUCUGGUUGUAAACCGCUUUCGCAUGUGACGAAGCGUGAGUGACGGUAAUGGGUAAAGAAGCACCGGCUAACUACGUG
rnacentral:rRNA from 1 species